rnacentral:tRNA from 1 species
GAGGUAUUAGGUUAAGUUAAACUUAUAGUUUGUCGGACUAUAGAUCUUAUUAAUUAAGAUAGCUCG